UGGUGUCUAACGUGCAUGCGAAGUAGAGGACCUGCAUAUCCAGAUCUCUGUGAAGGUUUAUAUCAGAUAAUUUAAGAUUUGAUCUCUGAUUUCACUGCUAAUCAGGUAAGGAUUUGAUCCUUAAUCAUGUAGAUGAAUAAAAAAAAUUUUAGAUGCAAUAUGGGCUUUUCGAGGAGAAAUAGUUUCUUUCCCUUCACAUAAGUAUACCAGUUACAGUUUCAUGCUCUCGUGCAAACAAAGUCUAAGAUUUUGGAUCUAGGAUUUUGCAGAAAUUAAGUUUUAGAUCGAGUGUCAAAAUAAUAUAUCACAUAUAAUAUUAAUCGAUCUAAAAUAUAUAAAAAUACAUGUAUAAUCUAAUUUAAAUCUAAAAAUAUAUAACAAU
rnacentral:lncRNA from 1 species